UACGGGGGGGGCAAGCGUUGUUCGGAAUUACUGGGCGUAAAGGGCUCGUAGGCGGCCAACUAAGUCAGACGUGAAAUCCCUCGGCUUAACCGGGGAACUGCAUCUGAUACUGGAUGGCUUGAGUUUGGGAGAGGGAUGCGGAAUUCCAGGUGUAGCGGUGAAAUGCGUAGAUAUCUGGAGGAACACCGGUGGCGAAGGCGGCAUCCUGGACCAACACGUGACGCUGAGGAGCGAAAGCGUGGGGAGCGAGUCCGG
rnacentral:rRNA from 1 species